AGAGUUUGAUCAUGGCUCAGAACAAACGCUGGCGGCGUGCCUAAUACAUGCAAGUCGAACGAGGUAGCAAUACCUAGUGGCGCACGGGUGAGUAACACGUGGAUAAUCUGCCUUAGAGUGGGGGAUAACUCUCCGAAAGGAGAGCUAAUACCGCAUAAGACCACAGUGACUUCGGUCACAGGGGUUAAAGGAGCAAUUCGCUCUAAGAUGAGUCUGCGUCAGAUUAGCUAGUUGGUGGGGUAAUGGCCUACCAAGGCGACGAUCUGUAGCUGGUCUGAGAGGAUGAUCAGCCACACUGGAACUGAGACACGGUCCAGACUCCUACGGGAGGCAGCAGUAGGGAAUAUUGCACAAUGGGGGAAACCCUGAUGCAGCAACGCCGCGUGAGCGACGAAGGCCUUCGGGUCGUAAAGCUCUGUUGCAGAGGAAGAAAAAAAUGACGGUACUCUGUAAGAAAGGACCGGCCAACUUCGUG
rnacentral:rRNA from 1 species